AUUGAACGCUGGCGGCAUGCCUUACACAUGCAAGUCGAACGGCAGCACGGGGCAACCUGGUGGCGAGUGGCGAACGGGUGAGUAAUGCAUCGGAACGUGCCAUUGAGUGGGGGAUAACGUAGCGAAAGUUGCGCUAAUACCGCAUAUUCUGUGAGCAGGAAAGCAGGGGACCGCAAGGCCUUGCGCUCUUUGAGCGGCCGAUGUCAGAUUAGCUAGUUGGUGAGGUAAAGGCUUACCAAGGCGACGAUCUGUAGCGGGUCUGAGAGGAUGAUCCGCCACACUGGAACUGAGACACGGUCCAGACUCCUACGGGAGGCAGCAGUGGGGAAUUUUGGACAAUGGGCGCAAGCCUGAUCCAGCCAUGCCGCGUGAGUGAAGAAGGCCUCGG
rnacentral:rRNA from 1 species